UACGAAGGGGGCUAGCGUUGUUCGGAAUUACUGGGCGUAAAGCGCGCGUAGGCGGGCAUCUAAGUCGGGGGUGAAAUCCUGGAGCUCAACUUCAGAAUUGCCUUCGAUACUGGCUUUCUAGAGGCUGGAAGAGGUUAGUGGAAUUCCCAGUGUAGAGGUGAAAUUCGUAGAUAUUGGGAAGAACACCAGCGGCGAAGGCGGCUAACUGGGCCAGAUCUGACGCUGAGGUGCGAAAGCGUGGGGAGCAAACAGG
rnacentral:rRNA from 1 species